rnacentral:rRNA from 1 species
UACGAAGGGGGCUAGCGUUGUUCGGAAUUACUGGGCGUAAAGGGUGCGUAGGCGGGUCUUUAAGUCAGGGGUGAGAUCCUGGAGCUCAACUCCAGAACUGCCUUUGAUACUGAAGAUCUUGAGUUCGGGAGAGGUGAGUGGAACUGCGAGUGUAGAGGUGAAAUUCGUAGAUAUUCGCAAGAACACCAGUGGCGAAGGCGGCUCACUGGCCCGAUACUGACGCUGAGGCACGAAAGCGUGGGGAGCAAACAGG